UUUAUUGAUUUUAUUUUCAUGACUUAAAAUUAUUGUUAGCAUUUGAUUUUUGGGAUGAAGGUUGACCACUGUCUCAUGGUCAACCUGACCUUUUCUUGGAAUUUUAUUUCAUAUUUUCAAUUUAUUUUGGAUUUACUUUUGACCUAGUUUGGUUGGUUGACUUUUAAUUUGACUUCUGUUUUAUUUUAACUAAUUCACGUACCAAUUUUCAUUAUUUUUAAAAUCUUUUUGGGGGAUGAUGAUGUCCUG
rnacentral:lncRNA from 1 species